GGGCCCGCACAAGCGGUGGAGCAUGUGGUUUAAUUCGAUGAUACGCGAGGAACCUUACCAGGGCUUAAAUGUAAGUUGCAUAGAGUAGAGAUAUUCUUUUCUUCGGACUACUUACAAGGUGCUGCAUGGUUGUCGUCAGCUCGUGCCGUGAGGUGUCAGGUUAAGUCCUAUAACGAGCGCAACCCCUGUUGUUAGUUGCCAGCGAGUCAAGUCGGGAACUCUAACAAGACUGCCAGUGCAAACUGUGAGGAAGGUGGGGAUGACGUCAAAUCAUCACGGCCCUUACGUCCUGGCUACACACGUGCUACAAUGGUAGGUACAGAGAGCAGCCACUGCGCGAGCAGGAGCGAA
rnacentral:rRNA from 1 species